UUCCCUUGGUAUGUUGUAUGUGAGUCUUACUGUUUUGGAUGAAUGCUGUGUGUGCCUCGGUUUCCCUGUGUAUUGCACCAAUGUCUAGGUGGUGGGAAUAAGCAUGUGUGACUUUUGUGGGGGUUGCUCCAGUUGCCUGUUUGGAUGCUGGACAAGGGGAGAACCAG